CCUACGGGUGGCAGCAGUAGGGAAUAUUGCUCAAUGGGGGUAACCCUGAAGCAGCAACGUCGCGUGGAGGAUGAAGGUUUUAUGAUUGUAAACUCCCUUUUUUAGAGAAGUUUAUGACGGUAUCUAACGAAUAUCACCGGCUAACUCCGUGCCAGCAGCCGCGAGAAUACGGAGGGUGCAAGCGUUACUCGGAAUCACUGGGCGUAAAGAGUGCGUAGGCGGGGUGAUAAGUCAGAUGUGAAAUCCUGUAGCUUAACUAUAGAACUGCGUUUGAAAUUGUUACUCUGGAGUGUGGGAGAGGUAGGUGGAAGUCUUGGUGUAGGGGUAAAAUGCGUAGAGAUCAAGAGGAAUACUCAUUGCGAAGGCGACUUGCUGAAACAUUACUGACGCUGAUGCACGAAAGCGUGGGGAGCAAACAGGAUUAGAUACCCGAGUAGUC
rnacentral:rRNA from 1 species